rnacentral:rRNA from 1 species
ACGCUGGCGGCGUGCUUAACACAUGCAAGUCGAACGGGGAUGAAGGAGAGCUUGCUUUCCUGAAUCUUAGUGGCAAACGGGUGAGUAACGCGUAGGCAAUCUACCCUAGGGAUGGGGACAACAGAGCGAAAGUUCUGCUAAUACCGAAUGAAGUAACCUUAUCGCAUGGUGGGGUUAUGAAAGGCAGCUGAGACAAGCGAAGCUGUCACCCGAGGAUGAGCCUGCGUCUGAUUAGCCAGUUGGUGAGGUAACGGCUCACCAAAGCGACGAUCAGUAGCCGGUCUGAGAGGAUGAACGGCCACAUUGGGACUGAGACACGGCCCAGACUCC